rnacentral:piRNA from 1 species
UGCUUACCUUGCUCUCAUUGGGAGUCAGAA